rnacentral:rRNA from 1 species
UACAGAGGGUGCAAGCGUUAAUCGGAAUUACUGGGCGUAAAGCGCGCGUAGGCGGCUUUGCAAGUCGGGUGUGAAAUCCCCAGGCUUAACCUGGGAACUGCAUUCGAGACUGCAUUGCUAGAGUAUGGGAGAGGGAAGUGGAAUUUCCGGUGUAGCGGUGAAAUGCGUAGAUAUCGGAAGGAACAUCAGUGGCGAAAGCGACUUCCUGGACCAAUACUGACGCUCAUGUGCGAAAAGCGUGGGGGAGCAAACAGG